CUCUACCUCUUUCUUGCCUGUGUUUUUUCUUUUCUCGUUUCGCUCUUUUGGUGAAGAAUAAUAGCGAAGAGCGGUUUCUGUCUAAUCUCAUUUUCUCUAGCGUUUGUACGAAUCAAAAGCUUGGGCGCGAUUAGAAUUGGAUUUCUGGUGAAGGAUAAACCUCCUUAGUAGGGUUUUAUCGCACAUUGUAUUUGAGUUGUUCGGGUCGAUGCAUUUAUUUAGCUUCGAUUCGAUCUAGGGUUUUCACUUCUGGGUGUUUUUGCUCGAAGGAGCUUUGGUUGUUUCCUACGUAAGUAUAUAUAUUUUUCUUCUUUUUGAGGAUUUUAUUCUUUCGUGGAAAGUUUUGGGCGAUAGGGAUAUAUUAUUUAUUUAGUGUGCGGAUUUCUUGUCGGAUUCUAGGUUUCAUGGUUUGUAUUUUAGGCUUUGGGAGGGUUAAUAUUGCUUGAAUUCAGUGAACUCGGGAAUUUCAGGCUUUAUUUAAAGGACCAUUUAGAAUUCUUUCGCCAUUGGAGAUGAUGAAUUUUUGUUAGCGACCCAGUUGAAUGGUAAUUUUCAUUCUUUGUUCCUCCACAUUAUUUACUUUCAGGAGGGCUACUGUGUGUGUUGAGCCUUUUUGGUUAAACUCCAAACAUGUUGCAAGAAAAAGGAUCAAUAAUGUCCAAAGAAGGGAACUGCUGGUGCUAUUGAAUUGAAAUUAUUGUUAUAUUGACCUCCUUCCUGAAAAUUUUAAAAAUUUUGAAUAAAAUUUGUCCUGUUGAAAAUCAAAGCUAAUUAUAUUGCGAACCGGAAGCUGAGCAUUGCCAUGAUAUUGCACCUUACGGAUAUCCAUAUUUGUUGAAAGUGAGCUGAGGAAUAAAACUUAAUUGUCAAAGUUGACAUGUGCAGUUAUUGGGAGUUAAUCUUAUGGCGCCAACUGUUCCUAUAGAGUUUGUUGGACAGAAGGAAUCAAGGAAGUGUUGGCUUCCACAACCAAUGGGGAAAUCAAGGAAGUACUCUAAAGGGCAUUCCUCUGAUUUUAUUCCUGAGUACAGGCAUGCUGUUGAGACUGUUGGUGAAUCUGAGGGAUUUGGGAGUUCUGGGCGAGUUGACGCUGAAAUGACAGCAUCGGAGGAUUCAUAUGCUCCCAAGAGGAAAUGUAUGAGUCUGAAUCUAGAUGGUUAUGAUGGUUUUGGCGUCCCAAUGCAAGUCUUGCCAUUGUCAAAGAUGCCAAGGUCAGAGAGGAAGGAUUUAGAAUUUAAGUUGAAAAGAGAACUUGAGCAGGUCAGGGUCCUUCAAAGGAAAGUGGCUUCUUUGAGUUCGAAUGCAGUCGUAUUAUCACCUUCCAGUGAUAUUAGGAGUUGCAGUGAUGGCCAAAAGAGGCCUCCGCUAGAGGGCUUGCACAAGUCUUUUGAAGUAUCAGCUCCACAGAGCAAGAAACGGCCUCCUCCGGUUCGUAAUGGGGCCCAACUAAAAAAGAGUUCAUAUAGACGUCCUGAACCAGCAAAGCCAGCUGCAGCAGUGAGUACUUCUAAUGCCAUGUGGAUGAAACAGUGUGAAACCUUACUAAACCGUAUGUUGGCACAUCAAUUUGGUUGGGUUUUCAGUGAACCAGUCGAUGUGGUGAGGUUGAACAUACCGGAUUAUUUCACUGUCAUUAAAAAUCCAAUGGAUUUGGGCACGGUGAAGAGCAAGAUUGCUUCAGGUGCAUAUUCAAGUCCACUGGGGUAUGCUGCAGAUGUGCGAUUAACUUUCUCAAAUUCAAUGAAGUACAACCCGCCAGGCAAUGAUUUUCAUUUCAUGGCUGAGACACUAAGUAAAUACUUUGAAGUGAGAUGGAAAGCUAUAGAGAAGAAGCUUCCUGUGACCAUUAAUGUGGAGUCAGUGCCUCCAAGAGCUGGUGUUCCUAUGGAAAUGGAAACAAAUAUUGGUAGUCUUCCUGCAAAAAAGAAGAAAAGUGCACCAAAUGACAAGAAGUUCAAGUUGGAGCCUGUUAGGCAGAUAAUGACUGAUGAGGAUAAGCAUAAGUUGAGCGCUGAAUUGGAAGCAUUGCUGGCUGAAUUACCUGAUAUCAUUAUUGAAUUUCUAAAAGAGCAUAGUCAUAAUGCUGACCAGAAUGGUGAGGAUGAAAUUGAGAUUGAUAUUGAUGCUCUCAGUGAUGAUACAUUGUUUAAAUUGCGGAAGCUUUUGGAUGAUUAUUUACUUGAGAAACAGAAAAACCGGGCCAAAACAGAACCAUGUGAAAUGGAGCUUUUUAAUAGGUCUCGGUUUAGCAAUUCAUCAUUGCAACCUUGCAAAGGCAAUGAACCAGUUGAUGAAGAUAUAGACAUUGUUGGUGGAAAUGACCCUCCUAUUUCAAGUUACCCUUCAGUAGAGAUAGAGAAGGAUGCAGCCCAAAAGAACAGUAAAUGCAGUAGUUCAAGUAGCACUAGUAGUGAAUCAGGCUCUUCUUCUGGUGAUUCGGAUUCUGGCAGUUCAUCCGGGAGUGAAUCAGAUGCAGCUAAAGCAUCAGUUCCUGGUGCUGUGACAAAGGUAUUUCUUGGUAGUGCUAUUGCCUUGGGCCAGGGCACUCCAUGUAUCAAAUAUAUUUUGGCAUUCAUCUCGUGCACAUGGGGUUUGUUGAUUUUUCUUUUCUUAUGCCUCGCUAAUUGUAGGAAGUCUUGGUAUCUGGAGAAAAUUUAGACCAAAAAAGAAGUGUGGACAGUCCAGAAAUUGGGAAUCGUGAGUUUCUAGAUCUUGUGAUUCAUGCAUGUCUAGAGUUCUUUUCUCUCUUUUAGGCUAGUGUUAUCCUGAAGUAAUGCUUCUGAUAUGUUCAGAAUCUGCAAAUGGAUUGGCCAAAAUUGAUCCAAAGUCGUGGGGUAAGCCAAUUACUGCUGAGACCGAUGGCCAGCAAGAGGGUAAGCAUAAUCUUUAAGAAGACUUGCCGCUGUUACUUUGGGGCUUCAUCUCACCAACGUGCUAUAAUAUUAUAGGGGAGAGUGCUCCACCUGGGAGACAAGUCUCCCCGGAUAAGCUCUAUCGUGCAGCUUUAUUAAGGAACCGUUUUGCAGACACCAUAUUGAGGGCUCGAGAAAAGGCACUUGAAAAGGGUGAAAAGUGGGAUCCUGAGAAAUUGCGGAUGGAGAGGGAGGAACUUGAGCGGCGGCAAAAAGAAGAAAAGGCUCGGAUGCAAGCUGAGGCCAAGGCUGCUGAAGAAGCUCGAAGGAAAGCUGAAGCUGAAGCAGCAACUGAAGCAAAAAGGAAGAGGGAGCUGGAAAGAGAAGCUGCACGUCAAGCAUUGCAACAGAUGGAAAAGACUGUUGAGAUUAAUGAGAACAGUCAGUUAAUGGAAGACCUUGAAAUGCUAAGGACUGCACAUGAUGAAGAGUUAUCGAGCUUGGUGGAGGAGACAAGCCCAGAUUUCAUUCUUCAAGGGAGUUGUAACCCAUUGGAGCAACUGGGACUAUACAUGAAGAAUGAUGAGGAGGAGGAAGUCGAACCACCCCAAAAUGUUUCAGAGUUAGACAAAGAUGUUGAGGAAGGAGAAAUUGAUUGAUGAGGCUUUUGUUUAUAUUAUUCUGUCAAUUCAAGGAUUUUAGGAAAUGGCUUUACUGAAAGCUAUGGGUGUGCUGUGCAUUUUGGAUCUCCUCCCAUCUCUUCCACGGUCCAGUUAUAUGGGAACAUUAUGUUGUACCCUGUUCCUAAUUGACAUCGGGUGCCAAAUCCUAUGAAAGAAAUGAAACUUAACAAGAGUCUUUGGAGAAACAUGAUCAGCAGUAUGGCUUUUCGCUGUCAUCUGUGUUAAUUGUCAGUCUCGAUUUGGGGGAAUAGGUUGAAAGUUGGGAUAUGAUUAGCCAUGCGAGUGACUACUGAGCUGUGGGCUAGUGAUGAACGAGGGGCCUGAGUUUGUGGUUUGUAAAAAGGGUAUUUGUAGUUUGUAUGGAGUGAUGCACUUUUUGACUGCAUCUUACCGGAGUUGAGGAGACAUUCUAUUUGUUGUUUGAGUUGGUGGAUUGGGAGAAGGGUGUAAGAUGUAAAUGUCAAUUUUAGGUAGGAGAGUAAAACUAGGAAUUGUAAUAUGGUGUUGUUGAGUCACAUGGAAAUGACAUUCUUUAUUUCUGUUUUUCUUAUGCUUUCGGGGUCUGCCUCGGGUACCGUUGUUUUUCCUAUUCUUUUAGUUCAAUUUGUGCUGUUGAGAGUUGCCAUGGUUGCGUGAAGUUUCAGUUUUGGAUGUUGCUGACAGACUCUUUAUUCCUAAAUCUCCAGCAGCGAUUGUUCUAUUGUUCCGAGUCUUCAGUGAAAGAUUUCAACAAAGAGACUUCAAGGUUAUUGUAAUUUAAAU
rnacentral:misc_RNA from 1 species